UCCAAGUAGAAACCGAUGGCCCUUGUCCUCGGGCACAAUCUAUCCCUGUGGGUGUCAUCUUUGACUCUGUUCUUGACAAACAGGCCACUGCAAGAAGGAAAAAAAUAAGGGGUUGGGAUUUAUUCUCGGCUGAAAUGAUGCUGAUGUCCCCGUAUGUUUCCAGGAGAGACUGACCGGGUCACCUGCCCAGAGAUGAAGGGCUUAUCCCGUUCUGUGUCAGCGUUGAAUUGGAAAGACAAGAAAGAGGAGAGAAAAGAGUGUUGGAGUGUACCUCCAGAAGCCAGAAGAUGGCAUCAGAUUCAUUGAAGCUGGAGUUCGGUGACAGUGAAGCACCCUACGUGGAUGCUGGGCUCGUCUAGAAGAGCAGACAGUAUCCUUAACCACGGAGCCAUCUCUGCAGUCCCAGAGAGGAUGUGACUGAGCACACCACGUCUUUUUUUUUUUUUUUUUUUUUUGGUUUUUUUG